rnacentral:rRNA from 1 species
CUACUGGGGUAUCUAAUCCUGUUUGCUCCCCACGCUUUCGUGCCUGAACGUCGGUGCUGGACCAGGAAGCCGCCUUCGCCACUGAUGUUCCUUCCGAUAUCUACGCAUUUCACCGCUACACCGGAAAUUCCGCUUCCCUCUUCCGCACCCAAGCCUUGCAGUUUCGAAUGCAAUUCCCAGGUUGAGCCCGGGGAUUUCACAUCCGACUUACAAAACCGUCUACGCACGCUUUACGCCCAGUAAUUCCGAUUAACGCUCGCACCCUCUGUAUUACCGCGGCUGCUGGCAC